rnacentral:lncRNA from 1 species
AAAGAAACACCAAAUCACCAACAUUUCAUGGUCUGCCAUAAUUUCUUCUAUCAACUCAGCAACUAUUUUAUCAGCACUAUUGUGAACAAAAGCAGCAAAUAUAGCUGCCUUUAAUCCUGCAUAUAAUCAAAGGAACAACUACUUUCAUGUCUAUUGCAGAGUGGCAAUCCCAUAACUUUUCAUGAGUUUAUUUGAAAAUUAGCUGAUAUCGGUUUCUGGAAAAGCAUCGAUGAACAUCAUCAUCUCCUUCUCACUAAGACCAGAGAAAAAGUAGAUUCGAG